rnacentral:rRNA from 1 species
UGGGGAAUAUUGCACAAUGGGCGCAAGCCUGAUGCAGCCAUGCCGCGUGUAUGAAGAAGGCCUUCGGGUUGUAAAGUACUUUCAGCGGGGAGGAAGGGAGUAAAGUUAAUACCUUUGCUCAUUGACGUUACCCGCAGAAGAAGCACCGGCUAACUCCGUGCCAGCAGCCGCGGUAAUACGGAGGGUGCAAGCGUUAAUCGGAAUUACUGGGCGUAAAGCGCACGCAGGCGGUUUGUUAAGUCAGAUGUGAAAUCCCCGGGCUCAACCUGGGAACUGCAUCUGAUACUGGCAAGCUUGAGUGUCGUAGAGGGGGGUAGAAUUCCAGGUGUAGCGGUGAAAUGCGUAGAGAUCUGGAGGAAUACCGGUGGCGAAGGCGGCCGCCUGGACGAAGACUAACGCUCAGGUGCGAAAGCGUGGGGAGCAAACAGG